rnacentral:lncRNA from 1 species
AAGCAGAAGUGAAAAAAUAAGAGCCACUGGCUAUCUGUCAGAGUGGUUACGGUGCUAAUGAAAAUUUGGAACGCCAUUGCAAGCCGGAAUGUUUGGCAGAAGCAAGAAUAUUUCUGUGCUGUUUAUGAGGUAUAUAAAAAGAUUCAAUAUGCUAAGUGGAAUACUCUACAGAAGAAAAUUCUUUUCCUAGAAGCAUGAAGUGAGUGCUAGAAAUGACCUCUGUCACUUACAUUUGAAACAUAACAAAGAAGACAAACAAACAAACAAAAACUUUGAGGAAUGCUGCAAUUCCAGCUAUAUUUCCAAGUCUGUUUAUCAGCAUAUUGCAAGAAGGAAAAAGUGAAACAUCAGGAGUUGAAACUCCGUAGAGAACAGAGGCCCAGAUCCUUGCAGAUUCCUAUUUGGAAGAAAAAUGUCCCCAGAUUUAUAAAUGUCUAGCCCUGAAAAUGCUUAGCAACUGCAUGUAAUCUGCAUUUUUAUCCUGCAAAGGGUUGCCACCCUUUUCAAAACAAAUCAGCAGAAUUAAAAGGGCCGAGGGGGAGUUUUCACUUGCUUUCUGAUGGCAAGGUAGGACUUUCAUGUAUGUCUGCCUAAUUUGAGGAAUGACUGCUUGGUAAUGGAAGAGUGGAUAAAAAAUAUUAAAGAAAAGUUCACACAGUAUGGGAAAUACGUUACGCUGUUGCUCUGAAAAACACAAGUUAUGCUUAUAGUAUGUAUCAUCUAAUCUCUCCUUCUCACUCUUUCUUUUUCUCUGAAUAUCUCUGCUUCACUUCAGUUCUUUUGCUCUUUUUAUUAUUAGGAACAUUUACGGGAAAGAGAAUUUAUGGUCUCCUUCUGCUAAUAAAUGUUAAGGAAUAUGACUUAAAAUAGGGAAU